rnacentral:sRNA from 1 species
GUAUUCGUCAAUUAUCAACGGAAAAAUCGGUUGCCUGGUAAUUAAAAAAUAUAUAUGAGUAUAGCGGAUCAAAUAAUGGUUGAUGUGCCAUAGUCCCUUUUAUGUUCUCAAGUUACAAACCCAUGGCUUCGAGGCGAAAGCCUUAAAAAAGGCAACGUUGAUGGCUAUAAGAAAAGAAAGUUUAACACUUGCUCAUACUUCUGUUUAUUCAAGGUUGGCUUAGGAACGCAAACAAAAAAAGCGCUCAGAUGAAAUAUGUUCGCAUCGUCAAUUUAUCAUAAUGAAGACAAACGAUGCGAAAGGAUGACCUUCAAAAAAUUAUUAUCCAAGUUUUUAAGUUGUGGCACUUGUAAUUGAUGAGCUCAACAUUUCCAGAUUGGCUGGAAAGCGAUUAGCGCAUAAUAACUGACUAAGUUUAUGCCACCGAAGGAGUGUUAAAAUGUGCUUUAAAAAUAGGUAGAAAAUUUUGAAAAAAUAUGAAAUACAUCCGACAUUUUGCGAACCUUCACAAAUGCUUUGUUAGUGCGAAUUUUCCAAUUGACUGGGAUGAAAGGCAAUCAGAGUCACAGCGGUACAGACCCAAAGUGUCUUAUUCUCGGUUCACUGGCCAGAAUGGUCGAGAUGAUUGACUUCAUGCAAAUGCUCUUGUUAAGACCCAUGUCUGGUUGGGAAAUUUGCAUUUGGCUUGUUUGACCAGUCUGGCUGGCACGGGAAUAAAAUUGAAAUUGUUACCUCGUCGUCGAACGCUUCAAUUUAAUUAAUUAGAGUACAGACUGGGCCCAGAAGUCUGCUUUUCUACAAAUAUACCUCCACUUCCUUCUCAAUUCUCCGACUAUUAAUGUUUAACCAAAGCAAAGUAACAACAAAUAUGCAAUUGCAUCCUUACACAUGUAAGCGCAGCCCAUUUUGUGGUCUCUUUGGCAAUUAAAGUUACAGUUUGUUAACAAAUUGUCUUGGCUUGGUUUAACUUUAUCCAAGUAGAAUUAUUUUCUUUAGUUUCUAAACAUGUUGGGUGUUUUAUGUAAAGUCAAUAUAACAAAUGCAAUUUUUUUUUUGAGAUUUUGCAGCUGUAGUUUACUUAAAUAAAUUCAGUAAUUCAUUGCACAGGAAAUUCCAUAAAUUUUCCCGCUUCAGCUUUAUCGAUCUCUGCAGCGCGUUGACACCGCCAGACGCUCGGCAUUAUUGAAUUUAUGCACUUAACGAUAGAGUCAGCAGAGUGUAGCUGCUGCCGCAGAGGAAGCUGUUUCCGCGACGGCAGUGGCAACAGUGCGUAUACGCAAUUAAAUUUGCAGUGUCUUCUGGCUCGCAUUGGAUUGUCGUCUGUGCGCGAGUGCAUAAAGAAUUACCGGAAAUGAGAUUGUUGCGGCUUUAAUUUCGCCCAAAUGAUUUAAGAUCUCCAGCGGAAUGUGUGAAUGGAUUUCGCGUGGCAUCGAACGGGUACUGCAUUAUCCAAAAGUAACACAUAUUUUACUGAUUAUUGGGUACAUAUGGCAAAGCUGGAGAAUAUAAAUACAUAUUUACAUAGCCCUUGCAUUUUCGUAUCAUUUAAAUCGAACUGAAAUUUUCAAGAUACACAUAUGCAGAAGUACAACGAAUGUAAUGG